AAGCUGAAUGCAGGGGAGAUCCCUUGAUCCUCUCAGCUCAGCAAGUGUAGUUAUAGGGUGAGGCCUGCCCUUUGCACUCUGUGCUGGAUGAGCCCUAUGAACUUCCCCAAAUGAGGGAAACUGAACUGCACAAUUUUGUGGUAGUGGGGGACUGUGUUUUUGUUUUCCCUGU